rnacentral:tRNA from 1 species
GCGAAAGAAGUGUAAUGGUUGCACAGUGUUUAUUCCAAAACACAGGAGGGGUUCGAUUCCACCCUUUCGCU